GUGACAGAAGCGGAAUGGGAGAGAGUGCAUAGAGAAAAAUAAAAGAUUAAGGCAAAAGGAAAAGACAUAGACACAGAUAAGACCUGAUACCGUCCAAGGAGGAACUGCACAGAAGUUGAUUACGAUCUGGCCACGGAGGGGACAAGAUAAAAAAAGUUCUGAAGGAAGCCAAAGGAUUCUGUUUGUGCGGGGAGAAUCGAGAAAGUCUUCAUGGAGUCAGAAUUUGGAGUAGAUCUUGAAAGACGAGUAAGUGGUGCAACAGGCAAAAUCUGAGAGCACAUCGCUCCUCAGGGACAGCACUCUGACAGUCAUUAUGGCACUGACGGGAAAUAUUAAAGCAGCCAAUGCCUUAUUUCAUCCAGUGUUAUUCAAAGUGUGAUCAUCCAUGGAGGGACCACAUGGGCAUCUCCUGGGAGCUUGGUAGACAAGCAAAUGUCCAGCU